UCUAUUUGCUGGCUAGCUUUGGUUGUUCUCAAGGAAAUAAAGAGACAUGAUGAACUUGCAAAUUAUAAAAAUGCAAGAAGAACAUUAAGAAAAUAGUGGCGUAGAGUUAGACCAAACCUGAUAUUUUUGCUUCUAUAAUUUGCUUUGCAAGGUCAUACAGGGAUCCAAGAAGUUCAUCUCUCCGUUCACAGUAUUCUUGGGCUAGCACACCAUGGUCCUACCCACGUUCAAAUUUGGCAGUUAAUAGACCAACAGCACGAGACGACAGAUGACAUACCUGCAAAUCCUGAUUCUCUCAAAAGCUCCAUCACAGAUGAUGCGAGACUCCUGAACCAACACAAAAUCAUGAAAUAAAUAAACUUUGGCAUGCAUUGUUCAAACCUGAGAAAUCCAUCUAUUUGUUGGCUAGCUUUGGUUUUCGAAUAGCACUGAUACUGCUUAAUCGUUGUUGCUGGUGCCACCUGAGAUGUUGUAUUGAAUGAAGACUUAUAUACAUGUGUGGAUACAUAGACAAAACACUGUCCCUAUCAAGCCUCUAGUUGGCUAGCCAGUUGAUCAAAGAUAGUCAGGGUCUUCUGAUUAUGAACAAGGUGUUGUUGCUUGAUAACUGGAUCACGUCAUUAGGAGAAUGACGUGAUGGACUAGACCCAAACUAAUAGACGUAGAAUUUUGAUCGUGUCAUUUUGUUGCUACUGUUUUCUGCGUGUCAAGUAUUUGUUCCUAUGACCAUGAGAUCAUAUAACUCACUGACACCGAAGGAAUGCUUUAUGUGUAUCAAACGUCGCAACGUAACUGGGUGACUAUAAAGAUGCUCUACAGGUAUCUCCGAAGGUGUUCGUUGAGUUAGUAUGGAUCGAGACUGGGAUUUGUCACUCCGUGUGACGGAGAGGUAUCUCGGGGCCCACUCGGUAAUACAACAUCACACACAAGCCUUGCAAGCAAUGUGACUUAGUGUAAGUUGCGGGAUCUUGUAUUACGGAACGAGUAAAGAGACUUGCCGGUAAACGAGAUUGAAAUAGGUAUGCGGAUACUGACGAUCGAAUCUCGGGCAAGUAACAUACCGAAGGACAAAGGGAAUGACAUACGGGAUUAUAUGAAUCCUUGGCACUGAGGUUCAAACGAUAAGAUCUUCGUAGAAUAUGUAGGAUCCAAUAUGGGCAUCCAGGUCCCGCUAUUGGAUAUUGACCGAGGAGUCUCUCGGGUCAUGUCUACAUAGUUCUCGAACCCGCAGGGUCUGCACACUUAAGGUUCGACGUUGUUUUAUGCGUAUUUGAGUUAUAUGGUUGGUUACCGAAUGUUGUUCGGAGUCCCGGAUGAGAUCACGGACGUCACGAGGGUUUCCGGAAUGGUCCGGAAACAAAGAUUGAUAUAUAGGAUGACCUCAUUUGAUUACCGGAAGGUUUUCAGAGUUACCGGGAAUGUACAGGGAAUGACGAAUGGGUUCCGGGUGUUCACCGGGGGGGCAACCCACCCCGGGGAAGCCCACAGGCCUUGGGGGUGUCGCACCAGCCCUUAGUGGGCUGGUGGGACAGGCCAAGAAGGCCCUAUGAGCCAUAGGAAGAAAAUCAAAGAGAAAAAAAAAGAGGAGGUGGGAAAAGGGGGAAGGACUCCUCCUUCCAAACCUAGUUGGAUUCGGUUUGGAAGGGGGGACUCCCCCCCCUUUGGCUCGGCCGACCCCCUUGAGGGUCCUUGGACCCCCAAGGCAAGGCUCCCCCUCUUCCCCCUAUAUAUACGGAGGUUUUAGGGCUGAUUUGAGACAACUUUGCCACGGCAGCCCGACCACAUAUCUCCACGGUUUUACCUCUAGAUCGUGUUUCUGCGGAGCUCGGGUGGGGCCCUGCUGAGAUUAGAUCAUCACCAACCUCUGGAGCGCCGUCACGCUGCCGGAGAACUCAUCUACCUCUCCGUCUCUCUUGCUGGAUCAAGAAGGCCGAGAUCAUCGUCGAGUUGUACGUGUGCUGAACGCGGAGGUGUCGUCCGUUCGGCACUAGAUCGUGGGACUGAUCGCGGGACGGUUCGCGGGGCGGAUCGAGGGACGUGAGGACGUUCCACUACAUCAACCGCGUUCACUAACGCUUCUGCUGUACGGUCUACAAGGGUACGUAGAUCACACAUCCCCUCUCGUAGAUGGACAUCACCAUGAUAGGUCUUCGUGCGUGUAGGAAUUUUUUUGUUUCCCAUGCGACGUUCCCCAACAAGAUUAGAUUUCAUUGGCAUGCUUGCAGAUCCUGAUUCUCUCAAAAGCUCCAUCACAGUUGAUGCCAGACUCCUGAAGCAACAUAGAAUCAUGAAAUAAAUAAACUUUGGCAUGCAUUGUUUAAAACCUUAGGAAUCGAUCUAUUUGCUGGCUAGCUUUGGUUGUUCUCAAGGAAAUAAAGAGACAUGAUGAACUUGCAAAUUAUAAAAAUGCAAGAAGAACAUUAAGAAAAUAGUGGCGUAGAGUUAGACCAAACCUGAUAUUUUUGCUUCUAUAAUUUGCUUUGCAAGGUCAUACAGGGAUCCAAGAAGUUCAUCUCUCCGUUCACAGUAUUCUUGGGCUAGCACACCAUGGUCCUACCCACGUUCAAAUUUGGCAGUUAAUAGACCAACAGCACGAGACGACAGAUGACAUACCUGCAAAUCCUGAUUCUCUCAAAAGCUCCAUCACAGAUGAUGCGAGACUCCUGAACCAACACAAAAUCAUGAAAUAAAUAAACUUUGGCAUGCAUUGUUCAAACCUGAGAAAUCCAUCUAUUUGUUGGCUAGCUUUGGUUUUCGAAUAGCACUGAUACUGCUUAAUCGUUGUUGCUGGUGCCACCUGAGAUG
rnacentral:lncRNA from 1 species